UCCUUCAUAGCUCAGUUGGUAAAGAAUCUGCCUGCAAUGCAGGAGAUGUGGGUUAGAUUCCUGCAUCAGGAA
rnacentral:tRNA from 1 species